rnacentral:rRNA from 1 species
CCUACGGGUGGCUGCAGUGAGGAAUAUUGGUCAAUGGCCGGAAGGCUGAACCAGCCAUGCCGCGUGAAGGUCAGUGCCCUAUGGGCGUUACACUUCUUUUGUGCGGGAGCAAUAAUGGUCACGUGUGGCCAGACGAGAGUACCGUACGAAUAAGCAACGGCUAACUCCGUGCCAGCAGCAGCGGUAAUACGGGGGAUGCAGGCGUUAUCGGGAUUUAUUGGGUUUAAAGGGUGCUUAGGCUGGGAGGUAAGUCAGCGGUGAAAUGCCCCCUCUCAACGGUGUGAAGUGCCAUUGAUACUGCCUGGCUGGAAUGCGAAUGCCGUGGGAGGAAUGUGUGGUGUAGCGGUGAAAUGCAUAGAUAUCACACAGAACACCGAGUGCGAAGGCAGCUCACGAAGCCGCGAUUGACGCUGAUGCACGAAAGCGUGGGUAUCAAACAGGAUUAGAUACCCCUGUAGUC